rnacentral:lncRNA from 7 species
AACUCUCUAAUACUGCACCACAAACAGGACUGACCUAAAUCUACAUAAUUGACUACCUUUACCUGCUUUUAAUGUUUGUGGUUUAGAAAAAAAAAAAAAAAAAAAAAAAAAACAACAGCAGAAGACAGAACCAGAAUGUAUUUAUCAUUUUUCUUUUAAAAAGUAGAUUUCAUGGGGAGACUUCAUCUGGAUCAGAUGAAUUCUUAUGGAUGAGAGUUUUGCCAGAACCAGUGAAUUCCUACAGGAAGACUUCAGAAGAACAAGUUCUGUACAGGAAUGUGGAUGAAGAUGCUAAGAAGACACUGUCAUUGCCAGCAGGAGAGUCUAGAAGUGGAUCUAUGAGUUGCACGUUUUCUAAGGAGUCAAAUUAAAAACAUGUAUCUAAAUGUUAUCGAAACACAAACAAAAUCUGGAGGUUUUCUGUUGUUACAACAUCAGAAAAUGCACAAAGUGCUUCAGACAUGCCUCAAAUGACAUUGUAACUUGUGUUAAAUAAGGCAUUCAAAUUAGCAAUUGAUAAUUAUAUUGAAUAUAAAAUAAGACAAUACUAUAGCAACCUUGAAAGAUGGCUUAUUUUUCUUCAGUGCCACCUUCAUCUCCUGUUGUUGUUUUUUAUUGAUUCAGGAGCGGCGUCAUCUAAAGAAUACUAAGCUCUACCUUUGUGAGAUGUGUAAUUUCUCUUGGUCUCUGAACUCUUGUCUUAAUUCUGUAUUUUGAAAGCAUUUUUUCUCUUUUAUGAAACAAAAAUAUCAUUAAUUGUCCAGUUCAUUUGGAAUUGUGAAGCCCUUACCAGAACCAUAGCUCACUGAUCCUUCCUACCCCCAAAAUGCUGGACUUCAGAGUACAAAGCAAAUACUUGCCCUGAGAUUCAUGCUUAACCUCCAGACUAAACUUCUCCUAUUUUAAUAGUGAAAUAUGCUCUCAGGUCUGCUACAAUUCUUCACUCAAAGUGCUGUUACUGUGAAGAAGCUUUUCUCUAAAGAUUGCCCUUAGUGUGCACAUACAUGCAGUAAGAUGUAAGUGUGAUUCCUCAGAAUUAAACUCCAGGAAGAGAAAAUAAGAAUAAGGAGGGGGGAGGAGGAAUGUAAAGAAAGAGAAGAUUAAACCAUUUGUGCUUUAU